ACAACAUUCGGAACGUCGGUCUACUGAGCAAUAUCACCCGCUCAGUGGAAGAUCUUGUGUGUACCUUUGUUGU
rnacentral:pre_miRNA from 1 species